rnacentral:rRNA from 1 species
UGCAGUCGACGAUGACCACUUCGGUGGGGAUUAKUGGCSAACGGGUGAGUAACACGUGGGCAAUCUGCCCUUCACUCUGGGACAAGCCCUGGAAACGGGGUCUAAUACCGGAUACCACUACCGCAGGCAUCUGUGGUGGUUGAAAGCUCCGGCGGUGAAGGAUGAGCCCGCGGCCUAUCAGCUUGUUGGUGAGGUAAUGGCUCACCAAGGCGACGACGGGUAGCCGGCCUGAGAGGGCGACCGGCCACACUGGGACUGAGACACGGCCCAGACUCCUACGGGAGGCAGCAGUGGGGAAUAUUGCACAAUGGGCGAAAGCCUGAUGCAGCGACGCCGCGUGAGGGAUGACGGCCUUCGGGUUGUAAACCUCUUUCAGCAGGGAAGAAGCGAAAGUGACGGUACCUGCAGAAGAAGCGCCGGCUAACUACGUGCCAGCAGCCGCGGUAAUACGUAGGGCGCAAGCGUUGUCCGGAAUUAUUGGGCGUAAAGAGCUCGUAGGCGGCUUGUCACGUCGGGUGUG